rnacentral:rRNA from 1 species
CUCCUUUGACGUUAGCGGCGGACGGGUGAGUAACACGUGGGUAACCUACCUAUAAGACUGGGAUAACUUCGGGAAACCGGAGCUAAUACCGGAUAAUAUUUCGAACCGCAUGGUUCGAUAGUGAAAGGUGGUUUUGCUAUCACUUAUAGAUGGACCCGCGCCGUAUUAGCUAGUUGGUAAGGUAACGGCUUACCAAGGCGACGAUACGUAGCCGACCUGAGAGGGNGAUCGGCCACACUGGAACUGAGACACGGUCCAGACUCCUACGGGAGGCAGCAGC